GUAAACCUCUGGCUCAUUCUUGCCCUGUGGCUCUAGAGACUGUCUUAUCUUGGAGAUGAUUUCCCCUUCUGAAUCUGAACUUGAAUCGGAUAUUGUCCUUGUUUUGCUUGCUCUGUUGUUGCCAUCUUCCAGGUCUCUGCAGCCUAUCACCAGAAACAUUCUUGUUUCCUUGGCAAUGAUUUGGACCACCAUGACUAUCUGAAUCAUUCUCAUGGGAAUCUUGUCUUGAGAACUUCAACUCCUCCGGGAUAUCUUGGGUGUCGUCUCUAGGAUCAGGAUCUUUCAAAAUAUGCUGUUUUAGUCAAGUAAGGCAAGAUAUCCUACCUUAGGAGCCAAAGGAGAAUCAUCCUCCAGAUGCAGUGUGAGGCCAUUCUCAGAAGCAAUUUUCAUCAGCACUUUCCAUCUGGUUUCCAAGCUUGGUUGUCUUGAUGAUAGCUUUUGUAUCAUCUACAAAAUUCAAGAUACCAGUUACUGGAAGCUCUCGAGAAAAUUUGAUAUUCGAACUUUCAACUCUUCACUCCUUACCUUGGGAUUUACGCCACAGGGGUUGCGUAAUUCAAUAGCACGGGCUGCAAAUCCUUUACUGAUCUUUGCUGAGAAAAUACUACGAAUUUCUUGCAGCUCUGGGAACUCCCCGCAUCUUGAAGAUGCAAAGAUUAAGUUUGACAUCGUCUCCUUCAGCUCGACUGGAAACUCUCUACAUAAACAUGAGCACACACAUAAGGUCAACGGUCUCUAACAGAAGCUGGCAGUACUUCUCUAUCAGGACAAACACAUCCAAGGUAUUCUGCUCCUUGAUCACAUGCUCAACCUGUGCAUACGUUCAAGAAAAACAUUAGAAGAUGACAGAGAGAUAGACA